rnacentral:lncRNA from 1 species
AAGCUCCGGCACCAGCUCCUCCCGGCCGGCGGCCCGCACCUGAGCCGGAGCCGGAGCCGGGCACGGCGGGUAGCGGUGGGGCGGGGUGGACCAGGCGCCAGGACCAGGCCCGCCGGGGCGGGAGGCCUCCGCGCGCACCUUCGGGGCUGAGGAUAGAGGGCGCAAAGACGUGGGCGCUUCAGGGCCUUGGCGAGGCCGCUAGCCCAGUGGCUUCCAAACCUGGAGGGUCGGCCUAUUUUCUUUAUUCUACAAGUGCCUCCACUGUGCAGCAAAGUGUGGAAACCACUUGGCUUGAGAGAGCUGGGUCCUCUGGAGCAGUUCAGGGUCACCACAGAAGUAGGCCGUCUCUUGGGCCUAUUCGCCCCAGCUUCGAGGUGGUGGUGCUUUAUUAGUGUUAUUAAGGUAAUGAGUAGCAACUGGGAGCGUAUGACGAAGGUGAUCCCAUUGUAAGAGAAACGCUAAAAGGGGUUAAUGCGCUUGAUACAAACAGCGUCCUUUUUGCCUUUUAACUCUAGUACAUCUCAUUUGAUGCCUUGAGACAUGAAAACUGAAUCUUAAGUCUCCACGCAAACCCUCUGCCUCCCACCAGGGUCUAACAGAGCACUCUGGAAGGUGCUCGACAAUUACUGAAGAAUGAGUGAAUACAGUAAUAAAGAAUGCUUUUUCACAUGCUUCCGAAAUUAAGGUCUGAAAACUACUUGUAUUGACGUCAUCUGGGGCACUAUUUUACAAUGCAGACUCCUGAUCUCUACACCUGGACAAGACCAGAAACGUGCAUUUUACCCAGAGCCUCGGGUGAUUCUUAGGCUUACUAAGUUUGAAAACUACUCCAACCAAAUGUAAAAGAAAGUCUUGAAUUUUUUUCCCUCCUAGAGACAUGUUUCUCCAACUGAGGUAAUGGAUGAUUUCAGGUAGAACUCCAUUACUCACCACCAUAUACAGAGGAAAGUCCUCCCACCCGGGAAGUGCAUGCAAAUUUAAGAUAAAUGCCUAAUGAAGCUGCUAAUAUUAUCAGUGAAUAAAAGGAAGGCCACUGGAGCCCCCAAGGAGCUAAUGCAACUAUUUCAUAUCAAAUAAGCUUGUUGCCUUUGUCAUACAGAAACACUGUUGGCCAAUUUUUUAAAGUCAGUACAUUUCCAUUGUUUUUAUUUUUGCAGUUAACUUCUAUUUUUGCCAGGCAGGACUGAUUUUAUAGUCAAGCAGUGAUGAUAUAAAAAAUUCUCUUCAAAUUAAGUGAAAAAGCCAAUGUAAAGAAGGUGAGAAACAAUAAGAUAAUGAUAGAAAGAUGUGGCCAAAAUCAUGAGGGUGCUAUAUGAAGGCAUGUGUAUCAGUUAGGAUUAGAUUCUCCAGAAGUUAAUAAGAACUCAGAUUAACAGUAAAUUAAACACACAAGUUUUAUUCUGUCACCUAGCUGGACGUAGGCAGAAUAAAGCUCUUAGGGCAGGUUCCUGAAUUUAUCAGGGACCCAGGCUCCUUCCAGUUCUUUGCUCCACCUGAUCCUGAGUGUACCCUUGUCCUCAUGAUCAAAGAGGGCUGCAGAAGCUUCAGCCUUCACGUCUGCAUUCCAGAAAUCAGAAUGGAAGAAGAGGAAUAAAAAGAGGAUGCUACCUCUCUUUUAAGGAUACUUCCCGGAAGUUCUACACAACAUUUCUACGUAUGUUUCACUCACCAGAAUUUAGUCACAUGGCCAAAUGUAGCUUUCAAGGGAGGCAAGGAAAUAUACCUGGCCAUUGCUGUGCCCAGAUAAAAAUCAGGACGGUAUUACUGAAGAAGGUGGGGAAAGUAGAUAUUCAGAAGCAAUUAGAGAUCUCUGUCAGAGUAUGAUACCCGAUUCCGGCCACUGAGUUGUAAGGAAACCUCUGCUAUGACAGAUUUCUCUAUUCUUAAAACAAGAGACAUGGGAAAAGAUGGUCCCUUUCAGUCUUUAACUAUUUCGGGAUCUAGAUAUGAUUGCUGGAAUUUCAGCCAUCUAGCACACUGAAAAUGGAGUCAUUGGAGUCAGGAGAGUCCAGAGAACUGCAGAGAAGAGAAACCUU